GGGGGUAGCUCAGUGGUAGAGUGUGUGCUUAGCAUGCAGGAGGUCCUGGGUUCAAUCCCCAGUGCCUCCA
rnacentral:tRNA from 1 species